CACAACAACAGCCCACAGAAACAGAGGCGACUUGCUCCGUACUGCUCGCCGCUUCCCCCCCAAUCUCCCCUCCCCCGCCGGCGAUCGCCGGAGCGCCCGCCGUCGCGGGGAGCCUCCCCUCGCCAUGGCCCUGCAGGGGAAGAAGCUCAUAAACAACCCCGACGAUGUGGUGACGGAGUUCAUCGAGGGGCUGGUGGAGACCUACCCGGGCCUGCAGUACCUGGACGGGUUCCCUCAGAUUAAAGUUGUUCUUCGUGCAGAUGUCGUGGGCGGCGCCUAUGACAAGGUCGCUGUCAUCUCAGGUACGGGGAUUAAUGUGAACCAUGCUCUGUGAAUGAGAUGGUUGAUUGCUGCGUUAAUUUAGUGGAAAUAUUCGGAAUCCUGUUGAAUUGCUCUGUGUGUGGAAUGCAGUAUGUACGGUAUGACCCCGCUUGGAGAUCACAGUUACAACGUCUGUAGGGGUUGCCUCUUUUGGCUGGUCACAGACUGGAAUUUGCCAACGAAGUGCACCAUCUCACCUACAUAAUUUUACAUGCGAUUCUGAAAAUUCUAAUGAGUUCAGGAUUAUGUUGGACUUCCGAUUUUGCAAGCAUCGGAGCAAUAUGAUCUUGUGUGCAUACUCUCGGUUGCUCAAUGUUACGUGAUACCUCAAAAUUUGCGGUCCUUUGUACGGUAUGGUACAAUUUUGGAUUGAUGCUUGGUGUUAUGGAUGUUGGAGGACACAGGACAGUGUAUGCCAAGAUGCACUGCAUCCUGUCGCAUUGUGAUAGAAAAGGCAUGGUGCUUCACCAUGUGAAGACGGUGCAUCCUGGGCCCCACGAGGAAGAUCCAUUUUGUUUGUCGUGGUGUUUGCGUACUUUUUUCCUGUUAUGCCUAGGUUGCCCAUCCAAGAGUUGUAUUGAACACAUGGUUUUCGUGAACCCCCAAACCGUUGCACCCAUAGAUAUCAUGCUGAACAGAGCAAGUAGAAGGCGUCAUUAGAUAAUAACAUAUUUACUGGCAAUAUGUGAUAUGUUAUCCUUUGUCCUUAUGGCUAUAUCAUCAAGGAGGCAUGUUGUUAUGCCUAGGUUGCCCAUCCAAGAGUUGU